rnacentral:rRNA from 1 species
UACGUAGGGUGCAAGCGUUGUCCGGAAUUAUUGGGCGUAAAGAGCUCGUAGGCGGUCUGUUGCGUCGGCUGUGAAAACCCGGGGCUCAACUCCGGGACCUGCAGCCGAUACGGGCAGACUAGAGUUCGGCAGGGGAGACUGGAAUUCCUGGUGUAGCGGUGAAAUGCGCAGAUAUCAGGAGGAACACCGGUGGCGAAGGCGGGGUCUCUGGGCCGAUACUGACGCUGAGGAGCGAAAGCGUGGGGAGCGAACAGG